CGCCGCCUCUAGCUCGCCGAGCUCCAGCCAAAGGAGAAGCGGGGUAAGUAAGGAGGUCUUUAUACCAUGGCUCGUACAAAGCAGACCGCCCACAAAUCGACUGGUGGUAAAGCACGGAGGAAGCAACUGGCUACAAAAGCCGCUCGCAAGGGUGCGCCCUCUACUGGAGGGGUGAAGAAACCUCAUCGUUACAGGCCUGGUACCGUGGCACUCCGUGAAAUUAGACGUUAUCAGAAGUCCACUGAACUUCUGAUUCGCAAGCUUCCCUUCCAGCGUCUUGGUGCGGGAAAUUGCUCAGGACUUCAAAACAGAUAUGCGCUUCCAGAGUGCAGCUAUUGGUGCUUUGCAGGAGGCAAGUGAGGCCUAUCUGGUUGGCCUUUUUGAAGACACCAACCUGUGUGCUAUCCAUGCCAAACAUGUAACAAUUAUGCCAAAAGACCUCCAGCUAGCACGCCGCAUACGUGGAGAACAUGCUUAAGAAUCCACUAUGAUGGGAAACAUUUCAUUCUUUAAAAAAAAAAAUUCUCUUCUUCCUGUUAUUGGUAGUUCUGAACGUUAGAUAUUUUUUUUCCAUGGGGUCAAAAGGUAUCUAAGUAUAUGAUUACAAGUGGAAAAAUAGGGGACAAAUCAGGUAUUGGCAGUUUUUCCAUUUUCAUUUGUGUGUGAAUUUUUAAUAUAAAUGCGGGGACAUAAAGCAUUAAUGCAAGUCAAAAUGUUUCAGUGAACAAGUUUCAGCAGUUCAACUUUAUAACAAUUAUAAAUAAACCUGUUAAAUUUUUCUGGAAAAAAAAAA